AUGGAGAGGGGACGUCUCAAGUCGAAGUCACGAUUUCUCCUCAGUUUGGAACCAUCUGUGACUGGAGCCAUGACGCAGCCAGAGCACAUUACUCACUUUUACAGUCACGACUUGGAAAUCCGUGCAGUUUCCAACCAAAAUUACACCGCCACCAUUGAAUUAUUUAAUAGGAUCCAGUUAAGGAUCAGAGCCAUUGCAUGCGGUCUUGGCCAGGAGGUGCUCUCACCCUAGCCCAGUGUACUGUGCUAUACUGAUGUUCAUGGCUGCAUCAUGCCAUUGUCUGCAGGAUCCGCAAUUGUUGCUGGGCUUUGUGUGGUCUGAGUCUGCGGCUAAGCCCCCUUCCACGGCGGUUUCGGAGGGGAUACCAUUGUCCGGGAUACCGCGGUGGUGCAUGUGAGUGCCAGACGGUGUUUCCUUGUCUCGUUUAAUGCAAUCUGAUGACAUGCCUUUGCUAGCCGGAAUGCCUGCGAACCUGCAUGCCCGCAGCCUAGCGAGAACUUCCCCGGCUCUCAGAAGCGGCGAUGGGGUGACGGGUGGUUGCAGCACCGAGGUAACCCUACACAGCUACUCCGUACACACCACAACAAUCCCCCACUACUUCGCCUCUAAUUCAGUCAUUCCACCAACUCCUCUGGUGAGGGUAUGACUAAGGACGCGAAGGACGGGCAAUAAUAAAAACAGACGCUCGCACACACACGAUCUGCAGAAAGUGUGAGCACUUAGAGGGGGAAAACGAGGUGGGAGGAGAAGGGGUGAGUCCAAAUAAAGCAACCUAUAGCCUCUUAUUUU